rnacentral:rRNA from 1 species
CGCUGGCGGCAGGCCUAACACAUGCAAGUCGAACGGUAGCACAGGGAGCUUGCUCUCGUGGGGUGACGAGUGGCGGACGGGUGAGUAAUGUCUGGGAAACUGCCUGAUGGAGGGGGAUAACUACUGGAAACGGUAGCUAAUACCGCAUAACGGCAUCGCAAGACCAAAGAGGGGGACCUUCGGGCCUCUUGCCAUCAGAUGUGCCCAGAUGGGAUUAGCUAGUAGGUGGGGUAAUGGCUCACCUAGGUAGCGACGAUCCCUAGCUGGUCUGAGAGGAUGACCAGCCACACUGGAACUGAGACACGGUCCAGACUCCUACGGGAGGCAGCAGUGGGGAAUAUUCGCGCACAAUGGGCGCAAGCCUGAUGCAGCCAUGCCGCGUGUAUGAAGAAGGCCUUCGGGUUGUAAAGUACUUUCAGCGGGGAGGAAGGUGUUGUCAGGGUUAAUAACCACAGCAAUUGACGUUACCCGCAGAAGAAGCACCGGCUAACUCCGUGCCAGCAGCCGCGGUAAUACGGAGGGUGCAAGCGUUUGCAAUCGGAAUUACUGGGCGUAAAGCGCACGCAGGCGGUCUGUCAAGUCGGAUGUGAAAUCCCCGGGCUCAACCUGGGAACUGCAUUCGAAACUGGAGGCAGGCUAGAGUCUUGUAGAGGGAGGUAGAAUUCCAGGUGUAGCGGUGAAAUGCGUAGAGAUCUGGAGGAAUACCGGUGGCGAAGGCGGCCCGCCCCUGGACAAAGACUGACGCUCAGGUGCGAAAGCGUGGGGAGCAAACAGGAUUAGAUACCCUGGUAGUCCACGCCGUAAACGAUGUCGACUUUACGGAGGUUGUGCCCUUGAGGCGUGGCUUCCGGAGCUAACGCGUUAAGUCGACCGCCUGGGGAGUACGGCCGCAAGGUUAAAACUCAAAUGAAUCGUUGACGGGGGCCCGCACAAGCGGUGGAGCAUGUGGUUUAAUUCGAUGCAACGCGAAGAACCUUACCUACUCUUGACAUCCAGAGAACUUUCCAGGUGAGAUGGAUUGGUGCCUUCGGGAACUCUGAGACAGGUGCUGCAUGGCUGUCGUCAGCUCGUGUUGUGAAAUGUUGGGUUAAGUCCCGCAACGUGGAGCGCAACCCUUAUCCUUUGUUGCCAGCGGUUCGGCCGGGAACUCAAAGGAGACUGCCAGUGAUAAACUGGAGGAAGGUGGGGAUGACGUCACAUAGUCAUCAUGGCCCUUACGAGUAGGGCUACACACGUGCUACAAUGGCGCAUACAAAGAGAAGCGACCUCGCGAGAGCAAGCGGACCUCAUAACCCAGUGCGCCGUAGUCCGGAUUGGAGUCUGCAACUCGACUCCAUGAAGUCGGAAUCGCUAGUAAUCGUAGAUCAGAAUGCUACGGUGAAUACGUAUUUCCCGGGCCUUGUACACACCGCCCGUCACACCAUGGGAGUGGGUUGCAAAAGAAG